rnacentral:rRNA from 1 species
UACGUAGGGUGCGAGCGUUAAUCGGAAUUACUGGGCGUAAAGCGUGCGCAGGCGGUUCGUUGUGUCGGCGGUGAAAGCCCCGGGCUCAACCUGGGAAUGGCCGUUGAAACUGGCGAACUGGAGUGUGGCAGAGGGGGGUGGAAUUCCGCGUGUAGCAGUGAAAUGCGUAGAGAUGCGGAGGAACACCGAUGGCGAAGGCAGCCCCUUGGGCUGACACUGACGCUCAGGCACGAAAGCGUGGGGAGCAAACAGG